AUGUUUGUCAGUACUCACUGUUUUCUUGUCCCUUAUCUUUACAGAAUAUGGAUAUGCUACACUGAUAUAGUACAUCUUAGAUCAGUACAAUCCUUUCUUUUCUUUUCCUACUUAACCAAUUAUUAUAGAUCCAGGCUGCAUCAUACCGUUGGAGAAAACUCAGUGCAGACUGGGGGUACCAGGCACUUACGGCUUCUGGAAGAACACAGCAUGGGGCCCACAAGGACAUCUACAUUCUAGAGACUACAGGUUCUUCUCAGAAGAUUCCACAUCCUACAUCCAGGGUGAAACUAGAGAAAGAAAAAUAUACAAUGAAAAUAGUGUAGAAGGACAUAGAAGAAACCAUUAGAACAGCAGUUCUCAACCAGAGGUGAUUUUUGUUUCCUCCCCCCUUCCACUUCAGGGAAUAUCUGAUAAUGUCUGGAGAUAUUUUUAGUUGUUACAAAUGAAGGAUGCUGCUGGCAUUUUUGGUGGCCAGGGAUGCUACUAAACAAUCUACAAUGCACCGGGCAGCCCCCACAACAAGGAAUUAUUCAACCCAACGUUUCAGUAGUGUUGGGAUUAGGAAACUAUGUACUAGACCAUUACUGAUUGUAGAUUUCUUUUGAAUGUUGAGAAGCAAAACAAAUAUGGGUAAGAAAUGAAUUGGCACUCCCUUUUAAAUUAUAAAUGGAAGACAUAGUUUUAGAAGUUGUAAAAUAAGGAAAAUUUAUUGGACAUACACAAAGCAGUAUAAAUAACAAAUAAAAAUCACUUGUACUCCUGCCA
rnacentral:lncRNA from 1 species